GACCUCAAAUCGGGUGAGACUACCCGCUGAACUUAAGCAUAUCAAUAAGCGGAGGAAAAGAAACUAACAAGGAUUCCCCUAGUAACUGCGAGUGAAGCGGGAAAAGCUCAAAUUUAAAAUCUGGUGGUCUUUGGCCAUCCGAGUUGUAAUUUAGAGAAGCGUCUUCCGCGCUGGACCAUGCACAAGUCUCCUGGAAUGGAGCGUCAUAGAGGGUGAGAAUCCCGUCUUUGGCAUGGACCCCAGGGCUUCUGUGAUGCGCUCUCAAAGAGUCGAGUUGUUUGGGAAUGCAGCUCAAAAUGGGUGGUGAACUCCAUCUAAAGCUAAAUAUUGGCGAGAGACCGAUAGCGAACAAGUACCGUGAGGGAAAGAUGAAAAGCACUUUGGAAAGAGAGUGAAACAGUACGUGAAAUUGUUGAAAGGGAAACGCUUAAAGUCAGUCGCGUCGACCGAGACUCAGCCUUGCCCUUGGCUUGGUGUACUUCUCGGCUGACGGGUCAGCAUCAAUUUCGAUCGUUGGAUAAUGGCAAGGGAAAGGUAGCACCUUUACAGGUGUGUUAUAGUCCUCUGUCGAAUGCAAGGGUCGGGAUUGAGGAACUCAGCAUGCACCUWGUCGGUGUCGGGGCC
rnacentral:rRNA from 1 species